ACAGGUGCUGCAUGGCUGUCGUCAGCUCGUGUCGUGAGAUGUUGGGUUAAGUCCGUAACGAGCGCAACCCUGUCCUUAGUUACCAGCACGUUAUGGUGGGCGACUCUAAGGAGACUGCCGGUGACAAACCGGAGGAAGGUGGGGAGUGACGUCAAGUCAUCAUGGCCCUUACGGCCUGGGCUACACACGUGCUACAAUGGUCGGUACAAAGGGUUGCCAAGCCGCGAGGUGGAGCUAAUCCCAUAAAACCGAUCGUAGUCCGGAUCGCAGUCUGCAACUCGACUGCGUGAAGUCGGAAUCGCUAGUAAUCGUGAAUCAGAAUGUCACGGUGAAUACGUUCCCGGGCCUU
rnacentral:rRNA from 1 species